rnacentral:piRNA from 1 species
AAGUGCAGCCCUGUAGUUAACGGUAGG